rnacentral:rRNA from 1 species
UACAGAGACUGCAAGCGUUAUUCGGAUUCACUGGGCGUAAAGGGUGCGCAGGCGGCCAAGUGUGUGAGACGUGAAGCCCGGGGCUUAACUCCGGAAUUGCACCUCAAACUACAUGGCUAGAGCAUUGGAGAGGGUAGCAGAAUUCACGGUGUAGCAGUGAAAUGCGUAGAUAUCGUGAGGAAUACCCAGAGGCGAAGGCGGCUACCUGGACAAUUGCUGACGCUCAGGCACGAAAGCGUGGGGAGCAAACAGG